GACGAACGCUGGCGGCGUGCUUAACACAUGCAAGUCGAACGGAAAGGCCCUGCUUUUGUGGGGUGCUCGAGUGGCGAACGGGUGAGUAACACGUGAGUAACCUGCCCUUGACUUUGGGAUAACUUCAGGAAACUGGGGCUAAUACCGGAUAGGAGCUCCUGCUGCAUGGUGGGGGUUGGAAAGUUUCGGCGGUUGGGGAUGGACUCGCGGCUUAUCAGCUUGUUGGUGGGGUAGUGGCUUACCAAGGCUUUGACGGGUAGCCGGCCUGAGAGGGUGACCGGGCACAUUGGGACUGAGGUACGGCCCAGACUCCUACGGGAGGCAGCAGUGGGGAAUAUUGCGCAAUGGGCCGGAGCCUGAUGCAGCAACGCCGGGUGCGGGAUGACGGGCUUCGGGUUAUAAACCGCCUUCGACUGUGACGAAGCGUGAGUGACGGUAAUGGGUAAAGAAGCAACGGCUAACUACGUG
rnacentral:rRNA from 1 species